UACAGAGGUCUCAAGCGUUUGUUCGGAUUCAUUGGGCGUAAAGGGUGCGUAGGCGGCGCGGUAAGUCGGGUGUGAAAUCUCGGAGCUUAACUCCGAAACUGCAUUCGAUACUGCUGUGCUUGAGGACUGGAGAGGAGACUGGAAUUUACGGUGUAGCGGUGAAAUGCGUAGAUAUCGUAAGGAAGACCAGUGGCGAAGGCGGGUCUCUGGACAGUUCCUGACGCUGAGGCACGAAGGCCAGGGGAGCAAACGGG
rnacentral:rRNA from 1 species